AGCAGCCGCGGUAAUUCCAGCUCCAAUAGCGUAUAUUAAAGUUGUUGCAGUUAAAAAGCUCGUAGUUGAAUUUCGGGGUUAGUAAGUUGGUCAUGCCUCCGGUAUGCACUGGCUUUACUGAUUCCUCCUUCUUGAUGAACUGUAAUGUCAUUAAUUUGGUGUUGCAGGGAAUCAGGACUGUUACUUUGAAAAAUUAGAGUGUUUAAAGCAGGCAUACGCUUGAAUACAUUAGCAUGGAAUAAUGAAAUAGGACGUUUGAUCCCAUUUUGUUGGUUUCUAGGAUUGACGUAAUGAUUAAUAGGGAUAGUUGGGGGCAUUAGUAUUCAAUUGUCAGAGGUGAAAUUCUUGGAUUUAUUGAAGACUAACUACUGCGAAAGCAUUUGCCAAGGAUGUUUUCAUUAAUCAAGAACGAAAGUUAGGGGAUCGAAGACGAUCAGAUACCGUCGUAGUCUUAACCAUAAACUAUGCCGACUAGGGAUCGGAUGAUGUUAUUUUUUAAUGACUCAUUCGGCGUCCG
rnacentral:rRNA from 1 species